rnacentral:pre_miRNA from 1 species
AGUAGGAUGGCUGGGUCAAAUGGUAGCUCCAUUCUAACAUUUUUAAGGAAUCUCCAUACUGCUUUUCAUAUUGGCUGAACCAAUUUGCAGUCCCACCAUCUAU